UCCGGUUUGUCACCGGCAGUCCCAUUAGAGUGCUCAACUAAAUGUGGCAACUAAUGGCAAGGGUUGCGCUCGUUGCGGGACUUAACCCAACAUCUCACGACACGAGCUGACGACAGCCAUGCAGCACCUGUGUUACGGCUCCCUUUCGGGCACACCCAGCUCUCGCUGGGCUUCCGUACAUGUCAAGGGUAGGUAAGGUUAUUCGCGUUGCAUCGAAUUAAUCCACAUCAUCCACCGCUUGUGCGGGUCCCCGUCAAUUCCUUUGAGUUUUAAUCUUGCGACCGUACUCCCCAGGCGGACAACUUCACGCGUUAGCUGCGGUACUGAGAAAUCGCUUCCCCAACACCUAGUUGUCAUCGUUUAGGGCGUGGACUAC
rnacentral:misc_RNA from 1 species